GAGCUACGCGUUGAGCACAUAGCGAACUAUUCUUUUGCAUUUUACUGAAGAAUACAUUGUACUCGUUACAAUUCAAAUAGCAUACCUCAUUUUUUUAUAACAAUAAUUAUUUUUAGGGC